CCUGCCCUCCUCCUUCCCUAUUGGCAGUCAGUUAAAAGCAGUAACAAAGCAAAGCUACAGUGCAUACCUCCAGUAAAGUGACUCAUCCUCACAUUCCUGAGUGUUUACACACAGCCACCCUUCCUUUUUAAAUAAAAAAAAUAGUUAUCAUAAAAAGGGAUCCAGUCUUCUCUGCUUUUGAAGCACCAAUACAGUGAGACCCAAAUCCUGAAAGGUGUCUUCGGGUGAUAUCAUAAUGAAUUCUCACAGGCUGGAGCUAAAUCUGCAUCAAAUCACUGAACAUGCAGUAUCAAGAUCAUCUCAGAGUUUUCCCUCACAGCUAACCUGCUCUUCUUGUCCUGCUGACAAAGUUCAAGCUGCACAC
rnacentral:lncRNA from 1 species